rnacentral:lncRNA from 1 species
AUUUUAUUGAAAAUAAUAAUAAUAAUAAUAAUAAUAAUAAUAAAGUAGUUCGAUAAUUUUUUAUUUAAAAAUUUAAGUCGUUAAAAAAAUAAUAUUUUAAUAUAUAUAUAUAUAUAUAUAUAUAUUAUAAGUUGAGUUGGAAUGCUAUCGAUAGCAAACGGGCUACAUUGUCACCUAUUUAUUUUCGAUGAUGAAGCCUCCAAAUCGACGAUCGGCACCGUUGAACAUAAUCUAUACCACUUAAAGUGUCUAAAAACCAAAUUUCAAAUCUUUUCGACAUUAUUAGCCUAAUGAUCAAAGGGUUUUGAAAAUUAUAAUUUUAAUGAUAAAUAUGAGGCAUUUUCUCGUUUAACGGUGUAAAACUAUCCAAAUCAAUUGAAUUUUCGUUAGAAAAUUCUUUAAACUAUUUAGAACAAGAUUUAUACUCUCGAUCUUGAUUAUAAAAUUUCUAUCAUCAUUUUUUUAAGAAUAUUUAUUUUCAGCCGUUCAUUUUUACACCCACUUGAUAGACAAGAGAAUAAUAUCGGAAAAGUAUAAAAUUUGAUUUCUAGAUACUUCAAGUGGUGAUAUCAUUUUCAACGAUACCGAUCGUUGAUUUGGAGCCUUCAUCAUCGAAAAUAAAUGGGUGGCAACGGAGACGGUUUGUUACCGAUAACAUUCCAGCUAAACUCUAUAUAUUAUAUUUAAUAUCCAAAAGUGUUACUAGCUGUAUGUAUGGUCAUCUAUU